rnacentral:rRNA from 1 species
GGGCCCGCACAAGCGGUGGAGCAUGUGGUUUAAUUCGAAGCAACGCGAAGAACCUUACCAAGGCUUGACAUGGAGACGACCGGCGCGGAGACGCGCCUUCCCUUCGGGGCGGCUCACACAGGUGGUGCAUGGUUGUCGUCAGCUCGUGUCGUGAGAUGUUGGGUUAAGUCCCGCAACGAGCGCAACCCUUAUCCUCAGUAGCCAGUACUUCGGGUAGGCACACUGGGGAGACUGCCGUGGACAACACGGAGGAAGGCGGGGACGACGUCAAAUCAUCAUGCCCCUUUUGUCUUGGGCUACACACGUGCUACAAUGGCCGGCACAAAGCGAAGCGACCGCGCGAGCGCGAGCAAAUCGCAAAAAAGACGGCCUCAGUUCGGAUUGUAGUCUGCAACCCGACUACAUGAAGCCGGAAUCGCUAGUAAUCGCAAAUCAGCAUGUUG